CUUGUAGAAGAGGAGGUUCCCCUUCAGAACAAACCAACGCUUGUGAUAGGAAGGCCUGAUGUCACCCUGCAGGACAAUGCUGUCGAAAUUGUGAACCAUCCGCAACUUAAAGCUCCGCGCGGUAUGAGAAGGACGAGUUUCGAAGGACGUCAGAAUAAGUCUCAUGAAAAAUACAAAUACGCCAUAGACUGUGUGUGAGUAAACUAUUCGGACACGGUCGUUUCCAUAAAAAUGGACACUUCUGAAUUUGGCUUACACAGGUUCGGAGUUGUUUGUGUGUACUUACUACUCACCUGUGGGAAGGACGAAAAUGUAGUUCGGGUUUCGUGCAAAGGUGUUGAGCCAAUCACUUCCGGGUUGUGGAGCUGGCUGUGACGACAAAAUGGAACCCUCCGAGCAACAAAAUAGAAAACCGUGCACGUUUGAUGCCGUUUUGUAAAUUAAAGUGGUCCUUGGACAACUAUAUAACUGUAGCUAGAGGUAAAGUGUUUCCUCAAUAAUAAUAAAAGUACCAAAUGGCACCACCAAAA